AAGAGUUUAGCUUAAUUGGUAGAGCUUCUAGCUUACAACUAGAAAGAGGUGGUUCAAAUCCAUCAACUCUUA